rnacentral:rRNA from 1 species
CGAACUCUGGUAUUGAUUGGUGCUUGCAUCAUGAUUUACAUUUGAGUGAGUGGCGAACUGGUGAGUAACACGUGGGAAACCUGCCCAGAAGCGGGGGAUAACACCUGGAAACAGAUGCUAAUACCGCAUAACAACUUGGACCGCAUGGUCCGAGCUUGAAAGAUGGCUUCGGCUAUCACUUUUGGAUGGUCCCGCGGCGUAUUAGCUAGAUGGUGGGGUAACGGCUCACCAUGGCAAUGAUACGUAGCCGACCUGAGAGGGUAAUCGGCCACAUUGGGACUGAGACACGGCCCAAACUCCUACGGGAGGCAGCAGUAGGGAAUCUUCCACAAUGGACGAAAGUCUGAUGGAGCAACGCCGCGUGAGUGAAGAAGGGUUUCGGCUCGUAAAACUCUGUUGUUAAAGAAGAACAUAUCUGAGAGUAACUGUUCAGGUAUUGACGGUAUUUAACCAGAAAGCCACGGCUAACUACGUGCCAGCAGCCGCGGUAAUACGUAGGUGGCAAGCGUUGUCCGGAUUUAUUGGGCGUAAAGCGAGCGCAGGCGGUUUUUUAAGUCUGAUGUGAAAGCCUUCGGCUCAACCGAAGAAGUGCAUCGGAAACUGGGAAACUUGAGUGCAGAAGAGGACAGUGGAACUCCAUGUGUAGCGGUGAAAUGCGUAGAUAUAUGGAAGAACACCAGUGGCGAAGGCGGCUGUCUGGUCUGUAACUGACGCUGAGGCUCGAAAGUAUGGGUAGCAAACAGGAUUAGAUACCCUGGUAGUCCAUACCGUAAACGAUGAAUGCUAAGUGUUGGAGGGUUUCCGCCCUUCAGUGCUGCAGCUAACGCAUUAAGCAUUCCGCCUGGGGAGUACGGCCGCAAGGCUGAAACUCAAAGGAAUUGACGGGGGCCCGCACAAGCGGUGGAGCAUGUGGUUUAAUUCGAAGCUACGCGAAGAACCUUACCAGGUCUUGACAUACUAUGCAAAUCUAAGAGAUUAGACGUUCCCUUCGGGGACAUGGAUACAGGUGGUGCAUGGUUGUCGUCAGCUCGUGUCGUGAGAUGUUGGGUUAAGUCCCGCAACGAGCGCAACCCUUAUUAUCAGUUGCCAGCAUUAAGUUGGGCACUCUGGUGAGACUGCCGGUGACAAACCGGAGGAAGGUGGGGAUGACGUCAAAUCAUCAUGCCCCUUAUGACCUGGGCUACACACGUGCUACAAUGGAUGGUACAACGAGUUGCGAACUCGCGAGAGUAAGCUAAUCUCUUAAAGCCAUUCUCAGUUCGGAUUGUAGGCUGCAACUCGCCUACAUGAAGUCGGAAUCGCUAGUAAUCGCGGAUCAGCAUGCCGCGGUGAAUACGUUCCCGGGCCUUGUACACACCGCCCGUCACACCAUGAGAGUUUGUAACACCCAAAGUCGGUGGGGUAACCUUUUAGGAACCAGCCGCCUAAGGUGGACAGAUGAUUAGGGU